GCCAGACUCCUACGGGAGGCAGCAGUGAGGAAUAUUGGUCAAUGGACGGAAGUCUGAACCAGCCAUGCCGCGUGCAGGAAGACGGCUCUAUGAGUUGUAAACUGCUUUUGUACAAGGGUAAACCUGAAUACGUGUAUUCAGCUGAAAGUACUGUACGAAUAAGGAUCGGCUAACUCCGUGCCAGCAGCCGCGGUAAUACGGAGGAUCCAAGCGUUAUCCGGAUUUAUUGGGUUUAAAGGGUGCGUAGGCGGACGCUUAAGUCAGCGGUAAAAUUGCGGGGCUCAACCUCGUCGAGCCGUUGAAACUGGGUGCCUUGAGUGGACGAGAAGUACGCGGAAUGCGUGGUGUAGCGGUGAAAUGCAUAGAUAUCACGCAGAACUCCGAUUGCGAAGGCAGCGUACCGGCGCCCAACUGACGCUGAAGCACGAAGGCGUGGGUAUCGAACAGGAUUAGAUACCCCUGUAC
rnacentral:rRNA from 1 species